rnacentral:lncRNA from 1 species
GCGGCGCGCGCCGCCUCAGGAGUAGCCCCCGCGGCCUCCCCUCUGAGAAUGGCCAUUCCCCGUGCCCCUUAUCCAUGGAAAACGGGCCGCGGGCUCCCCUGGCUGCCUCGUGGGGAAAAAAAGUUGGGUUUUUUUCCGGCCAUGUUCAACUCCCCGUCCCAUCGGUGCCGAUGCGUCUGUGGGCGAGGCUGAGGGCAGCGCGGAGCGAGUGAGGGGCUCUGGCGUGGGAAUGCUGUGGGAAGUUGGGUGUCAGCCUUUGCCUUGGUGCAUUCGACCUUGUGAACCUAAAAAUGGUACUUUCCAGGGAGACCAUGGAAGAUGUUGCAAGUAGCAGUGGCCAUCAACUGGAGGAAGCUCUGGCAGAGGUUAACAGACCUUGGGCCACGGAGAGAUACAAGAUACAUCACUCGCCAAAAUUGCUGUAGCAGACAUGAGGAGGACAGGAGAGAGCCAAGGCCUCCGUUGUGUUGUGUGCCCUGUUCCUGUCCCGCUGGAGGAAGGAGCUGCAGGCUGUGCUGGAGCUGUGGAGCGCGGUGGGCUCCGAUCUCGUGGGGCUGGGGGCUGUGGGGCCGCCCCCGAGGGCAUUGCAAAGCCCAGGCCUCCUCUGCCUUCAGAAACUGCCUCACUGCUUUAAUUUUAUACCCGCUGUAAAAUCAAUUCUGAGUAAUAUCUAACCUAUUAUUGACACUUUAGCCCCUGGGGAAUGGCCGGGUCUGAGUGUUAUAAGCAACCACUGAUUUUGGCCAGGCCCUCAGGGCCUCCUGUUGUGGCUGAGGCAAAUGUUGCUAAUAAACGCCUCCUUCAAAGUGACUUUUCCA